AACGAACGCUGGCGGCAGGCUUAACACAUGCAAGUCGAACGGGUGUAGCAAUACAUCAGUGGCAGACGGGUGAGUAACACGUGGGAACCUUCCUAGGGGUACGGAACAACUCAGGGAAACUUGAGCUAAUACCGUAUACGUCCGUGAGGAGAAAGAUUUAUCGCCCUUAGACGGGCCCGCGUCGGAUUAGCUAGUUGGUGGGGUAACGGCCUACCAAGGCGACGAUCCGUAGCUGAUCUUAGAGGAUGAUCAGCCACACUGGGACUGAGACACGGCCCAGACUCCUACGGGAGGCAGCAGUGGGGAAUCUUGGACAAUGGGCGCAAGCCUGAUCCAGCCAUGCCGCGUGAGUGAAGAAGGUCUUCGGAUUGUAAAGCUCUUUUGCCAGGGACGAUAAUGACGGUACCCGGAGAGUAAGCCCCGGCAAACUUCGUGCCAGCAGCCGCAGUAA
rnacentral:rRNA from 1 species